rnacentral:rRNA from 1 species
UAGGGAAUCUUCGGCAAUGGACGGAAGUCUGACCGAGCAACGCCGCGUGAGUGAAGAAGGUUUUCGGAUCGUAAAGCUCUGUUGUAAGAGAAGAACGAGUGUGAGAGUGGAAAGUUCACACUGUGACGGUAUCUUACCAGAAAGGGACGGCUAACUACGUGCCAGCAGCCGCGGUAAUACGUAGGUCCCGAGCGUUGUCCGGAUUUAUUGGGCGUAAAGCGAGCGCAGGCGGUUAGAUAAGUCUGAAGUUAAAGGCUGUGGCUUAACCAUAGUACGCUUUGGAGACUGUUUAACUUGAGUGCAGAAGGGGAGAGUGGAAUUCCAUGUGUAGCGGUGAAAUGCGUAGAUAUAUGGAGGAACACCGGUGGCGAAAGCGGCUCUCUGGUCUGUAACUGACGCUGAGGCUCGAAAGCGUGGGGAGCAAACAGGAUUAGAUACCCUGGUAGUCCACGCCGUAAACAAUGAGUGCUAGGUGUUGGGUCCUUUCCGGGACUCAGUGCCGCAGCUAACGCAUUAAGCACUCCGCCUGGGGAGUACGACCGCAAGGUUG